AUUGAACGCUGGCGGCAGGCCUAACACAUGCAAGUCGAGCGGAUGAAGGGAGCUUGCUCCUGGAUUCAGCGGCGGACGGGUGAGUAAUGCCUAGGAAUCUGCCUGGUAGUGGGGGAUAACGUCCGGAAACGGGCGCUAAUACCGCAUACGUCCUGAGGGAGAAAGUGGGGGAUCUUCGGACCUCACGCUAUCAGAUGAGCCUAGGUCGGAUUAGCUAGUUGGUGGGGUAAAGGCCUACCAAGGCGACGAUCCGUAACUGGUCUGAGAGGAUGGUCAGUCACACUGGAACUGAGACACGGUCCAGACUCCUACGGGAGGGAGCAGUGGGGAAUGUUGGACGAUGGGCGAAAGCCUGAUCCAGCCGUGCCGCGUGUGUGGAGAAGGUCUUCGGAUUGUAGAGCACUUUAAGUUGGGAGGAAGGGCAGUAGGUUAAUGCCUGGCUGUUUUGGCGUUACCGGCAGAGUAAGCGCCGGCUAACUUCGUG
rnacentral:rRNA from 1 species